AUGCGAGCGGCCUUGGCUGACCCCCUUCCCGUGUGCAGAGCCGCGGGGACAUCAGACGACCGGUCUUUGCCCUCAACGACCCCAGGUCCUGCUGAGAGGCAGCCCCGGGAGGAUGUGGGUGGGAGCAGGGACCCGGGGGCCACUGCCCAGCUGCACGCGGUGAGGAGUGUGGCCCUGGUGCAGCCCCGGGGCUCGGCCGCCACCCCCGAGCGACUCUGGGGUCCCCGCGCCCCCCAGAAUCAGGGACUCCGUUCUGAGUCGUCUGCUGAAUCACAUGGGAACCGCACGGAAGGGGAGCUGCAGGCUCGUGGACGCUCCGAGGCCCUCAACAGGCCAAGCUCCUGUCACGGCGCCUGCACCUUCCUGUCCAGGCCUUGCGCCUGGGCUCCCGGCACGGCCCCCGGGACGGUUCGCCCUCUGGCCACGGGCCCAGCUGUGCUCCCCGACGGUCCUCCGAACGGGCCCACACAGAGGGGUCUGCAUGCCCCUGUGGAGGCCGACCCCGGCGCCCAGCCUCGCUCCCGGAAGGACACGCACGGCCCUCCUCCCCUCGUGGGCAUCGCGUUCGCACCAGCAGAACCCAAGACUUAGUUUCAGAAGUGAAUGUAUUUGGCUUUUCAAGGAUUUGAAGCAUGAAAG
rnacentral:lncRNA from 1 species